rnacentral:rRNA from 1 species
GCAUAUCAAUAAGCGGAGGAAAAGAAACUAACAAGGAUUCCCCUAGUAACGGCGAGUGAAGCGGGAACAGCUCAAAUUUGAAAUCUCAGGGCAACCUGCGAAUUGUAGUUUAGAGAAGCGUUUUCGGGAGCAGCCUAGGUACAAGUUCUUUGGAACGAGACAUCAUAGAGGGUGAGAAUCCCGUCCAUGAUCUGGUGCCUGCUCCUAUGUGAUACGUUUUCCAAGAGUCGGUUUGUUUGGGAAUGCAGACCAAAAUGGGUGGUAAAUACCAUCUAAAGCUAAAUAUUGGCGAGAGACCGAUAGCGAACAAGUACCGUGAGGGAAAGAUGAAAAGAACUUUGAAAAGAGAGUUAAACAGUACGUGAAAUUGUCAAAAGGGAAACGCUUGGAACCAGUAUUGCCUGUGAGUAUUUAGCAUUUCGCUUGAGAUGUGACUUGCUCACUGGCGAGUCAACA